AUGGGGUUCGUCUCCUUCGUCGGGAGGGUGCUCUUCGCCUCCGUCUUCCUCCUCUCCGCCUACCAAGAGUUCAGUGAGUUUGGAACGGAUGGAGGACCAGCAGCAAAGUCUCUGAAGCCCAAGUUCAACCUGUUUGUCAAGCAGGUGUCCGCCGGCAUUGGGAUGGCGGUGCCACACAUUGACAUCAAGUCUGUCAUUGCCUUCACCAUGUUUCUUAAAGCCUUUGGUGGUCUCCUUUUCAUCAUCAGCAGCUCGUUCGGAGCGCUCGUACUGCUUGUUUACCUGGCAUUCAUAACCCCUGUCGUGUACGACUUCUACAACUACGAGAUGGAAUCCCAGCAAUUCGCCAAGCUCUUCACCAUGUUUUCACAGAACCUGGCCCUCUUCGGCGCGCUGCUCUUCUUCCUGGGAAUGAAGAACUCCAUCCCAAGGAGGCACUCCAAGAGAAGGGCCGCAAAGGCUAAGACAACCUGA
rnacentral:rRNA from 1 species